rnacentral:rRNA from 2 species
UACGGAGGGUGCAAGCGUUAAUCGGAAUUACUGGGCGUAAAGCGCACGCAGGCGGUUUGUUAAGUCAGAUGUGAAAUCCCCGGGCUCAACCUGGGAACUGCAUUUGAAACUGGCAAGCUAGAGUCUCGUAGAGGGGGGUAGAAUUCCAGGUGUAGCGGUGAAAUGCGUAGAGAUCUGGAGGAAUACCGGUGGCGAAGGCGGCCCCCUGGACGAAGACUGACGCUCAGGUGCGAAAGCGUGGGGAGCAAACAGG